AACGAACGCUGGCGGCAUGCCUAACACACGCAAGUCGAACGAGACCUUCGGGUCUAGUGGCGCACGGGUGCGUAACGCGUGGGAACCUGCCCUUAGGUUCGGAAUAACUCCCCGAAAGGGGUGCUAAUACCGAAUAAUGUCUUCGGACCAAAGAUUUAUCGCCUUUGGAUGGGCCCGCGUAGGAUUAGCUAGUUGGUGGGGUGUAGGCCUACCAAGGCGACGAUCCUUAGCGGGUCGAAGAGGAAGAUCAGCCACACUGGGACUGAGACACGGCCCAGAAUCCUACGGGAGGCAGCAGUGGGGAAUAUUGGACAAUGGGCGAAAGCCUGAUCCAGCAAUGCCGCGUGAGUGAUGAAGGCCCUAGGGUUGUAAAGCUCUUUUACCAGGGAUGAUAAUGACAGUACCUGGAGAAUAAGCUCCGGCUAACUCCGUGCCAGCCGCCGCAGUAAAAC
rnacentral:rRNA from 1 species